rnacentral:rRNA from 1 species
UACGGGGGGGGGCAAGCGUUGUUCGGAAUUACUGGGCGUAAAGGGCCAGUAGGCGGCCAACUAAGUCGGAUGUGAAAUCCCUCGGCUUAACCGGGGAACUGCAUCUGAUACUGGAUGGCUUGAGAUUGGGAGAGGGAUGCGGAAUUCCAGGUGUAGCGGUGAAGUGCGUAGAUAUCUGGAGGAACACCGGUGGCGAAGGCGGCAUCCUGGACCAACACUGACGCUGAGGAGCGAAAGCCAGGGGGAGCAAACGGGG